CAUCUGUAAAAGUUGAACCAAUGUGUCUUUGGCUCUUUGGCAUCUUCAACUUCCAUGCAGUACAAAGCUGUUUAUAGAAUGCAGUUUAUCACCCAACAGAUAACGAGAAAGUGCCUGCCAUAUGAAAAGUACUGGAACAUUUGAGGACCAUAAAAUGAGACACAAGGUGAUCUUAUCAGCAUAUCUUUUCCCUAUGACAAUCAGAGGUCCAAUGCCAAAGCUCCCACCGUGAAUGUCACCUAAAUCUUGUACCAGGCUUUAAAAUACUUCAGAUGUAGAGUUACCAAUCUUUGACAUGCAAAAUUAUUGAAAAAAAAAAUUUCAGCACUUACACCCUUGGGAAAGUGUUGCUAAACCGGAAGGCAUGAAAUCAUUUAGAAUUCACAAUUCAUUUCUCUGAAAUGCCAAGAACAAGGCCAUUAAUGCUCACAAUGCACAGAGACAAGCCCUCCAAGGAGAAAUGAGUGCAGGAAUACUCAAAAUGGAAGCCUGGAAAGAUGAACUACAAAAUAUUAUUUCAGCUUCAAUCCAGCCAGAGAGACC